rnacentral:rRNA from 1 species
AGUGAACGCUGGCGGUAGGCCUAACACAUGCAAGUCGAACGGCAGCACAGUAAGAGCUUGCUCUUACGGGUGGCGAGUGGCGGACGGGUGAGGAAUACAUCGGAAUCUACUUUUUCGUGGGGGAUAACGUAGGGAAACUUACGCUAAUACCGCAUACGACCUACGGGUGAAAGCAGGGGAUCUUCGUACCUUGCGCGAUCGAAUGAGCCGAUGUCGGAUUAGCUAGUUGGCGGGGUAAAGGCCCACCAAGGCGACGAUCCGUAGCUGGUCUGAGAGGAUGAUCAGCCACACUGGAACUGAGACACGGUCCAGACUCCUACGGGAGGCAGCAGUGGGGAAUAUUGGACAAUGGGCGCAAGCCUGAUCCAGCCAUACCGCGUGGGUGAAGAAGGCCUUCGGGUUGUAAAGCCCUUUUGUUGGGAAAGAAAAGCAGCAGGUUAAUACCCCGCUGUUCUGACGGUACCCAAAGAAUAAGCACCGGCUAACUUCGUG